AUCACUUCUUGGCCUUUUGGCUAAGAUCAAGUGUAGUAUCUGUUCUUACCAAUUUACAAGUCUUUAUAAGAUGUUGGCAUUGUGGUAUAGCUGGUAAAGCCACCGCCUGCAGUGCCAGCAUCCCAU
ensembl:snRNA U2 U2 spliceosomal RNA